rnacentral:rRNA from 1 species
GAUGGAGCAACGCCGCGUGAGUGAAGAAGGUUUUCGGAUCGUAAAGCUCUGUUGUUGGUGAAGAAGGAUAGAGGUAGUAACUGGCCUUUAUUUGACGGUAAUCAACCAGAAAGUCACGGCUAACUACGUGCCAGCAGCCGCGGUAAUACGUAGGUGGCAAGCGUUGUCCGGAUUUAUUGGGCGUAAAGCGAGCGCAGGCGGAAAAAUAAGUCUAAUGUGAAAGCCCUCGGCUUAACCGAGGAAUUGCAUCGGAAACUGUUUUUCUUGAGUGCAGAAGAGGAGAGUGGAACUCCAUGUGUAGCGGUGGAAUGCGUAGAUAUAUGGAAGAACACCAGUGGCGAAGGCGGCUCUCUGGUCUGCAACUGACGCUGAGGCUCGAAAGCAUGGGUAGCGAACAGGAUUAGAUACCCUGGUAGUCCAUGCCGUAAACGAUGAGUGCUAAGUGUUGGGAGGUUUCCGCCUCUCAGUGCUGCAGCUAGCGCAUU